AUGCUUUUCAGCUCCGGCUCAAAAGGAGCCGGCGCGGGGCCUCGCCUCUUAAUUGCGGAGGAGGGGGAACAUGGAAAAGCCUCUGGCUGCUGUUAAUGCAGGAGAAAGCGGCUGCUCCGGAGGCACAGCCUCCUCCCGGGCAUCCUCCCAGCGGGGUGGGAGCCGAGCCGGAGCGCUCAUCCUGGGAAUGCGCCAGCGAGGGCCGGCGGCGGAGCUGGAGAGCUGGAUCCCGCUGAGAGGAUGAAAACAUGGGGCUCAAGUUAUCCUGCCUGAAAGGCUUGAAGAUGUGUGUGAGCAACGGGAACGGCAGCGACGGGACCCCGACGGCAUCCUCGGGCCAGAAGCACCUGCACGUGCCCUCCAUCAUCGUCACACCUCCCACGCCCACCGGGACCACGCUGUCCCGCGAGGGGCGGCGCGGCGAGGGCGCCUCGCCCUGCAGCCAGUGCUGAGCGGGGACACGGGGGACAGCCAGCCUGGCAGGACCUGUCCCUGCCCCGUCGGGAUGGAGCCACAGCCCGCAGGGUGCGGCUGCCAGGGACACGCGGGGCACCCACCAGGGUGGGUUUGGACGCCAAGGACUGGGGUUUGUGUCUUUUGUUAAUAAAACCCCUGGGGCUCCGCA